GGGGAUUUAGCUCAGCGGCAUAAGCACCUGCUUUGUAAGUAGGCGGUCAUGAGUUCAAUCCCUG
rnacentral:tRNA from 1 species